AGUGAACGCUGGCGGUAGGCCUAACACAUGCAAGUCGAACGGCAGCACAGAGGAGCUUGCUCCUUGGGUGGCGAGUGGCGGACGGGUGAGGAAUACAUCGGAAUCUACUCUGUCGUGGGGGAUAACGUAGGGAAACUUACGCUAAUACCGCAUACGACCUACGGGUGAAAGCAGGGGAUCUUCGGACCUUGCGCGAUUGAAUGAGCCGAUGUCGGAUUAGCUAGUUGGCGGGGUAAAGGCCCACCAAGGCGACGAUCCGUAGCUGGUCUGAGAGGAUGAUCAGCCACACUGGAACUGAGACACGGUCCAGACUCCUACGGGAGGCAGCAGUGGGGAAUAUUGGACAAUGGGCGCAAGCCUGAUCCAGCCAUACCGCGUGGGUGAAGAAGGCCUUCGGGUUGUAAAGCCCUUUUGUUGGGAAAGAAAUCCAGCUGGCUAAUACCCGGUUGGG
rnacentral:rRNA from 1 species